CGGGUGCGUAACACGUAUGCAACCUACCUUGUACAGGAGGAUAGCUCGGGGAAACUCGAAUUAACCCUCCAUAAUAUAAUUGGAUGGCAUCAUUUGAUUAUUAAAACUUUGGUGGUACAAGAUGGGCAUGCGUCUGAUUAGUUAGUUGGCGGGGUAAAGGCCCACCAAGACGAUGAUCAGUAGGGGAACUGAGAGGUUGAUCCCCCACACUGGCACUGAGAUACGGGCCAG
rnacentral:rRNA from 1 species